CAAUAGCGUAUAUUAAAGUUGUUGCGGUUAAAAAGCUCGUAGUUGGAUUUCUGCCGAGGACGACCGGUCCGCCCUCCGGGUGAGUAUCUGGCUCGGCCUGGGCAUCUUCUUGGAGAACGUAGCUGCACUUGGCUGUGUGGUGCGGUAUUCAGGACUUUUACUUUGAGGAAAUUAGAGUGUUUCAAGCAGGCACACGCCUUGAAUACAUUAGCAUGGAAUAAUAAGAUAGGACCUCGGUUCUAUUUUGUUGGUUUCUAGAUCUGAGGUAAUGAUUAAUAGGGAUAGUUGGGGGCAUUCGUAUUUAACUGUCAGAGGUGAAAUUCUUGGAUUUGUUAAGGACGGACUACUGCGAAAGCAUUUGCCAAGGAUGUUUUCAUUGA
rnacentral:rRNA from 1 species